CUUCCCCAAUUCUUAUACACGGUCCUCCACCACAUCCUUAACUCAGUCAUAAAUCCAGUGAACCAACCCUUCACCCAGAGAAGCUCUCACCUCUUGCACUCUCGCCUGUCUUUGCUGUUGUCGACGAGGACUGCUCAUCUCCCGUCGCCGUCUCGGUCUCUAGAAGGUGCCUAUCGCGUCGCCGUCUCUACCCGCGUGGUCAUCGUCGGUUCCGGCCUACUUCUGGCUCGUCCCUCUUCUUCGGAAUUUAAGAUGGCUAGGAAAGGUCGUUAUAUGAAAAAAUCAAAAAUAGGACCAGGAUGUCAACAACCUCAAACGGCUCCACUUCCGGCUUCGGCUUUUCACCACAAUGACUCUCAAAUUCCCUCCGUCAGCGGUGAUAGUGUCCCUACAACCUCACGUCCGUUCCAUCUACCGCGCAAUGAACCAAGGCCUACUCCACAGACGAGCACAAAUAGCAUUUAGAACUCGAAGCCAGGCCACAUAAACUUGGACGCUAAUGCAAAUGAGGUAGAUUCUCUUGAUCAAGAAGACGUCUUUGUUGCUUUUGGAGCUCAGAAUCGCAAAGGAUGCAAGACUACAGAGUUUUAGACGGUUAAGAUCAUCGAUUUCGAUGGCACAAUCAAGCCGGCAAAAUUAAGUGUGAGGAGGCUAUGGAACGGCCUAAUGGUAAAAGGAUCAUGCUCAAGUUCAACAACGAAAAGCAGGCAAUUGGAGACAAAGCUGGACUGUUGAGUGGCGUUCUUGGUCUGCCAGGAUCUGAUUAUGGAAAAAUUUUUAUCUAUGAGAAAAGUUGGCGUAAUAUUACCACUAAAAACAAGGUUUAUAACGAAUGUGUCAAGCAAAUUUUUCACUUUGAUGAAGAUAGUGAAGGAACUAUCAAGAAAAAUAUUUUGAAAAGUAUGGGGAAGUCCUGGAAGGAUACAAGGCUGAGGUUGUAUAAUGCUUAUUACGAGCCAACAUCAACGACUGAACAAAAUAUUGAGAAUCGUCCGCCGGAAAUUGCUCGAAAGUAUUGGAGAUGGUUCCUUAGUACACAACAAUACAAUCACAAUUGCAUUGAGUCUUUUUAAAUUAGUUUCUAAUCGUCCUUUAUCUCUGAUGGACCAAUAGGAGAAGUGCAGAAAAAACGCGAUAAAUAGAUCAAAACAACUAUAUACUGGCGGUUCGAAAAGCUUCACACGACAGAGGGAAGAAGAAGUACUUUACUUUUUUAUUCACUCUUCGGACUUGUACUUUACUUUUUUGUUCACUCUUUGGACUAUCUCUAUGUCUACAUUCUUCUUGAUUGUAUGGAAUACGGUAAUGGCAUAAACUUUGUUGUUAUAGUCAGAACAACAAGGAAGGAGAGUCGGUAGAAGAGAGUUAUGGAUCAAAGUGCACAAAAAAAAGAUAGCUCAUAUAUCAAUGAUGAAGCAAGAGCAAUUGGUGUAAGUACUAUUUAUUAUAAUUGAUCUUCAAAAUUAUGAUCUCAAA